UAUAGUUUUAACUGAGAAUACUAAAUAAAUCUGUGAGUUCCAACACUGCAUUAUAGAAAAAAAUUCUGUUUCUGUCAGGAAACGCUCGGAUGAGGACCCAAAUGCACAGCAGAACACAGGUUGACGGUGAUCAAAGGGUGGUUUAUUCCGGGUAGGCAGAGACAGCGUCAGGGACAGGCAAGGUUCGUACACGAAAGCCAGAAAAUAACAGUACCGAGUCGUCAGGCGGAGAAGCGUGGUCAGGCAGGCAAACAAGGUUGAUCAUUAACGCCAGGAUACAUGAAAACACAGCCGGACAGGAACAAUGAACUGGGGAAACAACGAUGACACACGAAACAACGAUCUGGCAAAAUACGAGGGUGAGAGGUGGAGCUUAAAUACAAGUGUUUCCAGUGUCAUCAAAGUCCUGCUGACUUCUAACAAACCCUGCUGACAGAAUUCUGGCAAUGUCAGCUUCACUGCUGCCGAUUCCUCUUGGAUGAAGUUGUGACAAUCAGCCUUCGCACCGCAAGGGGCACUCCUGUGUUUUUGUGUGAGUCAUUUCCUGAGUUAAUUUCCUGUGUUCUGUAAUGAGUUGAUGAUAUCCACCUGCUUCAUGUUGUAUUUAAGUCAUGCCUUUUGUUUCACCCGUUGGUGGUGUGUUAAGUCGUAAACACGGUCAUAAGCUCGGUAAGCUAUGUUGGGUUACAAGUUUUGAAGAGAGGAGCCUUUUGAUGGAAUGGAGUUUUUGUUUUCUUUGAUGGUUGUCCUUAAGGUUUGUAUUGUGUAUCUGUCUUCUUUGUUUAAAGAUGUAGUUUAGCCGGAUGGGUUCAGUACUGUUUAGUUUAUUCAGAGUUGUGUCGAGUGAGUGUCUUGUGUUUUAUGUUUAGGUUUGUGUGCCAAUUAGGAAUGGAGCGUUUCUACAGUACUAUAGUUCGUUUACGUAGUAGUUUUUAGUUUUCCUGCAUAGCAGCGAUUUUUAGUUCUCACGUUUUUGUUUGAUCUUGAGUGAGUUUAUGUUUGUAUUUAAUAAAUCAUUUUAUGUUAAACUGUACUUCCUGUGUUUGGGUUGUGCGUUUGGGGUCUUUCAAUGUCUUUUCAAUGUCAAUGUUUUGUCGUCUGUAUGCAAUCUGAACAGUCUUUACAAUUUUACAAGGCGUGAUCUGAUGCAGUUUGAUCAUUGAGAUUGGAAGUAGGUAAAAGAGAAUGAGGACUGGAUAAUUCUGCUGUUUACUGCUUCGAUCUUCUGUCAGUAAAAUAUAAAAUGUUAAACCUUUGAAUCCCGUAUUUU